AUUGAACGCUGGCGGCAUGCCUUACACAUGCAAGUCGAACGGCAGCACGGGUGCUUGCACCUGGUGGCGAGUGGCGAACGGGUGAGUAAUACAUCGGAACGUACCUUAUCGUGGGGGAUAACGCAGCGAAAGCUGUGCUAAUACCGCAUACGCCCUGAGGGGGAAAGCGGGGGAUCAAAGGCCUCGCGCGAUUAGAGCGGCCGAUGCCUGAUUAGCUUGUUGGUGGGGUAAAAGCCCACCAAGGCGACGAUCAGUAGCUGGUCUGAGAGGACGAUCAGCCACAAUGGGACUGAGACACGGCCCAGACUCCUACGGGAGGCAGCAGUGGGGAAUUUUGGACAAUGGGGGCAACCCUGAUCCAGCAAUGCCGCGUGAGUGAAGAAGGCCUUCGGGUUGUAAAGCUCUUUUGUCAGGGAAGAAACACCGGCUCUAACACAGUCCGGGAAUGACGGUACCUGAAGAAUAAGCACCGGCUAACUACGUGCCAGCCGCCGCCGUAA
rnacentral:rRNA from 1 species